AGCUUUAUAUUCUAUGUUUAGGAUGUUAAAUUGCAAGUUUGAUGGUGUUAUUGUUGACUAAAGCUU
rnacentral:tRNA from 1 species